ACGCUCGACACCUACGGGAGGCAGCAGGUUAGGAAUAUUGGGCAAUGGAGGAAACUCUGACCCAGCAACGCCGCGUGAAGGAAGAAGGUUUUCGGAUUGUAAACUUCUUGAUCUAGGGGAAGAAGGAAGUGACGGUACCCUAGGAGAAAGCCACGGCUAACUACGUGCCUGCAGCCGCGGUAAUCUGAGCGGGCUGGCAAGGC
rnacentral:rRNA from 1 species